AGGUUCGUGGUCUAAUGGUUAUGAUUUCUCGUUCACACCCACGUUGAACAUUGUCGUUACAAUCCCGAGAAGGUUCCGGGUUCGAUCCCCGGCGAGCGUG